CCCCGGACGCGCGGCCCCCCCACCCGCGGCCCCGCGCGCCUCUCCCUGACACCACCCUCCGCGGCCCCCUCCGGACCCUCUGGCCCCCAAGACGCCCCUCCGGCCCUCCCCUAGGAGAGGGGGCCCUCGCCAAGUCUCCGCCUUCCUGCCCUCCUCCUGUCAAUGCCGCUGUCCAGAGCUCGCAGCCCUGGGAACGCCACUCCAGCGGGGCCUCCUUCUCCUGGGACCCCCUGGGCCCCACCCCCAGGACCUCCCACCUCUGCAAACCCCGAGUUUGCUUUUCCCAUCCACCGGGCAGCUCUUCUCCACGCCCACCUGGCUGGACCCGGGAAACCGAAGAAGUUAGUGGGGGUUCACCAGUAGGAAUCGGUAUGAGGGAGAGCCUGGAGGAGGAAAUGGGGAAAGGGGAAAUGUUCAGAAGGAAUGGAGGACAGCGAGCAGGGUAUUCGGGGAUGGAGGACCAAGUGUGUUUCUUUGGGAAGUGCUGGCAUGUAGGGGUGUGUGCUGUGUACCUGUGUGAAGGAUGUACGCAGAAUGUAGAGUAUGGGGUACGUGAGGGUGGUGUGUACGUAUGUGUCCUGUGGCGGGGAGCGGUGUGCAUUCCGAGAUGUGCGCAGGGUGAACACAGUGUACGUGCAAUGUCCAGGCGUGUGGUGUGCAAGUGUGUGUCUGUGUGUUAUGUGGUGAAUGUGCAGGAAAGGUGUCGCCUUGAGGUGUGGGUAGAGUAUUGUAGGUGCUGGGGGGUUAUGAAUAGGGUAUGCGGGAGAACUGGCUAGAGAUUUCUCUCAGAGGACCAGCCAUGGAGAAGGCCAGGAUGAAGUCUUGGGGAGAACCUCGGGUGAGUUCAGCUCUGAGUCCAUUUCCGUUUUCAGAUCUGGCAGACAAAUCCCUCACACUCAGGUAAAUAAAUUCGGCCUGUGCUCGAGUGCACGAGAAGGGAGAACGUUGUAGUAGCCCAGAUCUGGACUUGGACCACUGGAGGCCUCCCUCUGGCAACCCCGCCCUGGCCUGCAGUCCGGGGUGUGGGUGAUUCAGGCCGCCUGCGCAGCAGCUUCGGAACCGCGGGUUGCCUUGGCUGCGCCUUUAGCUGGGGCUGGGAGAAGCCGGGUCCGAGAGUCGGGAAGAGGGAGAGGUGGAGAGAAUGCGCCUGCGCACGAGUCUUUCCCACAGCAGGUUCAAGUCAGGAAAAGGCCUAGGGACUUUCCUAUUUUUUGCCCUUUAAAGUCAGAGACCCUUCCAAAACUGAGCGCUGUAUUGCCUGGGGAAGCCGCGCCUAUGUGUCCGAGGCAGCUCUGGGGUUCUUGCCCACCCUUCCGGGAAGCCGAUUGCUAGUGGGUGUAUGGAGGCUUUCCAAAGACUCCCGGAGGUUUGCGUGGGUUUCACUUCGGGCCAUAGCUUCAGAAAGAGCGAGCCUGCCUCUCUGUAUUUUUAGCAGGAGGAGCAGAAUUUGAAACAGCAGCAUACCGGUCCUGCGCCUGGUGAAGGAUGACUCGCCAGAAAGCAAAGGCACAGCCCUACCUCCGCGAGCUUGGCGCGUGGCCCAGGAGGCUCCGCGAGCCCUCGUACGUAAGGAUCGCGGCGCCCACGCUUGAGAGCAGAGCUCAGUGCAAACUUCCAACGGUUCUUCCAGUUUCCAGGGAAACGAGAUCUGGAGCUGCUGUGCGUUGCAGAGCUGCCUCUCUGCAACCCACAUGGGACCCCUGUGGCUGGCUGGUCUUGGGGAAGAAGGAGUUGAAGCCACCACAUCCAUGAAGGCGCCGAUCCCCGGACGCGCGGCCCCCCCACCCGCGGCCCCGCGCGCCUCUCCCUGACACCACCCUCCGCGGCCCCCUCCGGACCCUCUGGCCCCCAAGACGCCCCUCCGGCCCUCCCCUAGGAGAGGGGGCCCUCGCCAAGUCUCCGCCUUCCUGCCCUCCUCCUGUCAAUGCCGCUGUCCAGAGCUCGCAGCCCUGGGAACGCCACUCCAGCGGGGCCUCCUUCUCCUGGGACCCCCUGGGCCCCACCCCCAGGACCUCCCACCUCUGCAAACCCCGAGUUUGCUUUUCCCAUCCACCGGGCAGCUCUUCUCCACGCCCACCUGGCUGGACCCGGGAAACCGAAGAAGUUAGUGGGGGUUCACCAGUAGGAAUCGGUAUGAGGGAGAGCCUGGAGGAGGAAAUGGGGAAAGGGGAAAUGUUCAGAAGGAAUGGAGGACAGCGAGCAGGGUAUUCGGGGAUGGAGGACCAAGUGUGUUUCUUUGGGAAGUGCUGGCAUGUAGGGGUGUGUGCUGUGUACCUGUGUGAAGGAUGUACGCAGAAUGUAGAGUAUGGGGUACGUGAGGGUGGUGUGUACGUAUGUGUCCUGUGGCGGGGAGCGGUGUGCAUUCCGAGAUGUGCGCAGGGUGAACACAGUGUACGUGCAAUGUCCAGGCGUGUGGUGUGCAAGUGUGUGUCUGUGUGUUAUGUGGUGAAUGUGCAGGAAAGGUGUCGCCUUGAGGUGUGGGUAGAGUAUUGUAGGUGCUGGGGGGUUAUGAAUAGGGUAUGCGGGAGAACUGGCUAGAGAUUUCUCUCAGAGGACCAGCCAUGGAGAAGGCCAGGAUGAAGUCUUGGGGAGAACCUCGGGUGAGUUCAGCUCUGAGUCCAUUUCCGUUUUCAGAUCUGGCAGACAAAUCCCUCACACUCAGGUAAAUAAAUUCGGCCUGUGCUCGAGUGCACGAGAAGGGAGAACGUUGUAGUAGCCCAGAUCUGGACUUGGACCACUGGAGGCCUCCCUCUGGCAACCCCGCCCUGGCCUGCAGUCCGGGGUGUGGGUGAUUCAGGCCGCCUGCGCAGCAGCUUCGGAACCGCGGGUUGCCUUGGCUGCGCCUUUAGCUGGGGCUGGGAGAAGCCGGGUCCGAGAGUCGGGAAGAGGGAGAGGUGGAGAGAAUGCGCCUGCGCACGAGUCUUUCCCACAGCAGGUUCAAGUCAGGAAAAGGCCUAGGGACUUUCCUAUUUUUUGCCCUUUAAAGUCAGAGACCCUUCCAAAACUGAGCGCUGUAUUGCCUGGGGAAGCCGCGCCUAUGUGUCCGAGGCAGCUCUGGGGUUCUUGCCCACCCUUCCGGGAAGCCGAUUGCUAGUGGGUGUAUGGAGGCUUUCCAAAGACUCCCGGAGGUUUGCGUGGGUUUCACUUCGGGCCAUAGCUUCAGAAAGAGCGAGCCUGCCUCUCUGUAUUUUUAGCAGGAGGAGCAGAAUUUGAAACAGCAGCAUACCGGUCCUGCGCCUGGUGAAGGAUGACUCGCCAGAAAGCAAAGGCACAGCCCUACCUCCGCGAGCUUGGCGCGUGGCCCAGGAGGCUCCGCGAGCCCUCGUACGUAAGGAUCGCGGCGCCCACGCUUGAGAGCAGAGCUCAGUGCAAACUUCCAACGGUUCUUCCAGUUUCCAGGGAAACGAGAUCUGGAGCUGCUGUGCGUUGCAGAGCUGCCUCUCUGCAACCCACAUGGGACCCCUGUGGCUGGCUGGUCUUGGGGAAGAAGGAGUUGAAGCCACCACAUCCAUGAAGGUUUUGUCUGGAGCCUGUCUGAUCCGAUGCAUUCAGUACUGAAAGCUUUCAGGAACAUUCUUUUACUCACUUCUCAGGACAACCGGUGAGGAUCCUUUCACCGAGGAAGAGCUCAUCAUGCUCUGUUGUGAGCCAUCCUCAACUUCCACUUGCAGAGUCUGCUUAACCUUCCAUGCAUGCCAAGGAGGGGACCCAGGGUAGCUGCGGUCUAGUCACGUGACCUGGAGGGUCAGAGGCAGGAAGGAGAGCAACUCCAGAAAGAACCACACCGGUGAGGGAUAACUUUGCCACUUUUCCAGGAAAAUGACAUCAUUAACUACUGUUCAAGUUCCUACAGAGGUCUGGCGGCCUUCUGGGGGCAGGUAUCACUCUCCCACACCAUCACCUUUUAAAUAUUUUAUUAACAUAUGUCUUAGUCUACCUUCUUUUACUGUAACUGAAUAACAUUUACAAAGAACAAUGGUUUAUUUAGCUAACACUUCAGAAGUGCUUGCAACUGUGAAGCCCUUGUGCUGUGUAUAGUAUGGUGUAAGGAAUGACUUGGCAAGACAGAGCAGCCAAAGAGCUUCUUCCACAACAAAACCGCUCAACCAAUUAUAUCCCAAAGGUUCCACCAAACACCAUGAGCAUAUGACUUUGGGGGUCACGUUUCUCGCCUGUGGAUUCUGGGGACAAGCGUUCAUGCAUCACAAGUAGCCAAAUAGUUGAAAUGUUCAUUGUUAAGCCUCACCCCCUCCCGACCCCCCUUUUUUUCCUAGGAACAGCCACGUUAAUCUGUUACUUCACACAGGCAGUGCAGGCAUCCUCUGUGCAAAACACCCAACGGUGAAUCUUCCAAAGAAUUCAUGAAACCGUAGCCGAGUUCUCAGAGACACAACAGUGUUUCUUACUAUGUUCAAAGUCUUAUAGAAUGUAACACAGAAAAUAUUAAAUAUACAAUGUGCUAUCUUCAUGGCAUAGAAACAAGCAUUUAUCUAACUUACGAAAGACAGAAGUGCCCGAGACACGGCCCAGGACCUGUCAGCCAACCAGAGCUUCUUCCUGCACUUGCUUAGGCAUUUGUAGAAGGAAUCUAUCCCAGCCGCUACAGCUGGUCUGGUUUGUUUUCUUUUGUUUGUUCAUUUGUUUUUAUUUUACAGAGAGUCAGAGAGCAUGAUUCUCCCUACCUGGCUUCUUUUGUUCCAUAAAUAAUGUUUGUGGAGCGUGUCCACGAUGCUGCGCACAGCCCUGGCUCACUCAUGGCUGGUAAUGAAACCCUGCAGCUGACCAGUUUCACUGCAGUAAGCAACACAUUGCUUCUUGUUUGGGAAUGGUGUGUCGGGAAUCAUUGAGACACGCAGCUGAGUAACCCUGUCUGAUUAAUACUGUCUUUACUUCUAUUUCCCCCUCUUUGCAUCGAGGUGCAAUUUAUGUACAAUAAGAAUCAUUGAUUUUAACUGUAUGAUUCCACGAGUUUGGACAGCUGCAUACAUUAUACGGACGACCCACUCAUGACUCAAUGCUGGUCCAACUCCUGCAAAUGCUAAGCUCAGCUUUUCCCGACUCCCACCUCGUGCAGUAUACAGGAUUUCCUGUGCAUGGGCAACCUUUUCUGUCUGGCUUCAGUGCCUUUCAGAUUCGUCCAAACUCUCACAUGAAUCGAUUGGUUGUGCUUAUUGCUGAAUAGAAUUCUAGUAAAAAGUGUUUAUCCAUUCACGGCAUGGUGGGCAUUCUGGCUGUCUCUGACGGGGUGACUGACCUGUAUUCAACCGUGGUACCAUGCAGGUUUAAGUCGAUAUGAGCGUGCUUCCAACUCCUUAGGUGUGUGGUAGGAGUGUGAUUGCUGGGCUGCAUCACCACACAUUUACAGUUAUCCUUAAAGAAAACAGAAGAUCAUUAACUAGAAUCAUUUUCCGCCCCCAUCCCCCCGUGCCGUAUGUGUAUACUCCUGGGUUGUGUUUUUAGCAACACAAGGUGUGUCAGCUUCCCUAGCAUGUUGGCCAGCCUGGCGUCCAUAGAUGGAUUCUCAUGGUGGCUUUAAUUUGCAUUGCCUGGUUUUGAAUGCUAUCAACACUUUCACUUAUCUUCAGUAAUGCGCGGGCGCGCGCGCGCGCGCGCACACACACACACACACACACACACACACACACACACACACUUGGUUAGCUUUUUCGAAAAUUACGUGGUCUCUAAGUCUCUAUCAUUUUAUCAACAGUGAAUAGAAGCGUGACUGGAAAUGUGGCGUACGUUGGCCCUGUGGAUUCUCCUGUAAUAGCCCAAGCACAUAUUAUACCUCUUUCAGCUGAUCCCUCGAAAACUCAUCACUACUCAACCUGGUCUCCUCUGGAGUCUAAAUGAAGCACUUAAUGGGAAUCCACCUAAGCCUCCUCUGGCUUCUGUUUAUGACAGUAAAGAGUCCAGGUAAGUCAUGUCAGGGGUAGACAGAGCUGCCAGCUGCCCAUGUCUUAGCGAGAUCAGUGAGCUAUAUCUCCCAAGAGAGAAUUGUCAUUCUGCCUCUCUGCCAUGAGGACACUGCUGGACCACCUCUGCAGGAGCUUGCACUGAUGCUGUGCUAGAAAGAACAAAGACCCUUCUCUGCUUUGGUUUCCUUUAGAAAUGGUUCUGGCUCUGUCUCCCACAUACUCCAGCCUCCCACCACUCCAACUGGGGUGAACUUUCCUUCUACCUGUGGAACACAUCAAAUGGAGUUCUUGUGUUUCCUGUGUUCAUUUUCUCGUCUGAAAUCAUGCUGUUGCUGCUGUCUACCACACUAUGUCCUUGUAUUCCUAGACCUCCAAAACCAGGGCUGGACAGUCCAGGUGGAGCCUUUCUUCCUUAGCAGACGUAAGUAGACACAACCAUCCUGUAGGGCGAACAAGAGCUUGGUGGCUGGACAACCACUUCAGAUUUUCAAAUACACCCUCACAGAGAUGCUCAGGGAUGCUCACUGAAGUUUCAUCUGAGGCAGGGAGUCACAAGAAAGCAGAGAAGGAUGACCCCUGCCAAAACCAUGUUAGAGCAAAGGUGGCAGGGUCUCCCUUCCCUUGAAAUAACUCAAAUGCUGGACAGAGGACAGAAAGCAUGGUUUUCAAAUGCUAAUCAUGAAACAAGGCAAGACUGUGACAGAGAAUCAAAGAAAGCCUCCAGUGCCUCGUGUAACAGCUUAAGAGUUGCCAGCAAUGGUGCCAGCCGAGGAGCCCAGGCAGACUCAAAGAACUUCCCUGGGUUUAAGAGACAUGCUUGUGCUCAAGGGACCAAACUAAAUGUAUACAGGUUUGAUUUUUGUCAAUUAUGCUUCAAUAUAACUAUAAAAACUGGGGUAAAAGCACACUGUAAAAUACUGUCAAUCAGAAGUAACAAAGCUGUAUCUAAUACAUAACUCUAAGUGAGUAAAGAAUCAAUAUUGUCCAACCA
rnacentral:sRNA from 1 species